ensembl:lncRNA
GUGUGUGCUUGUGUGUGCAUGCAUGUGUGUGCACAUAUGCGUUUGUGGGGUGUGUGUGCACGUAAGUGUGCGCGUGCAUGUGUCCGCAUACAUGUGCGUGUCUGUGCAGUGUGUGUGCAUGCAAGUGUGUGCGCGUGCAUGUGUGGUGUGUGCAUGAAUGUGUGCGCGCGCAUGCGUCUGUGGUGUGUGAGCAUGUGUGUGCGCGCGUCAGUGUGUGUGCUUGUGCCUGUGUGCAUCUGUGUGGGGCAAAAGAGAUCCAGGGACAGGGACACACAGGUGUCCUUUCCCCAGCUGUCCAAGCCCUUUCAGUCGCGGAUAAGAAGGUCGCCGUCAGGAACAGAAGAGGAAGAGAUGGGGUAGCUGUGCCUAUGGAACCACUUAACUAGCUGGAGACCAGAAGGCUUUCGUGGGUUGGAGUCACCUGCUUCUCACUUCCGGGCUGUGAACACAAGGCCGCACCCACUUCACACGGAGCCACUUCCCAGAGUCAGGGCCAGGAGCACAGAGAAGGCCAGAGCGGCCCUCACAGCCACAGGGCUUGUCCAUGGCGUCUGGUGGGGGAAGCAGCUAUGGAAGCCCCAAAUGGCCAAAACAGGAGUCACGCCGCACAAACACAAUGACGUGAGUGGAAGCUGUUUUCUCUGGGGGGAGGAGGAGCGGGGCCAGGAAUUAUAUCCCAUCUGAAGUGCAUGUUACAGGACCAGCAGGAGCUUGCCAAGAAAGGGGCUGAUGGACUCCUGCUCCCUGCUGCUGGGGUGAAGAGCACCGGGCUCCAUGGCUGGGAGGUUGCCUUCUCGCACCGACAUACUCACUUCAUCCAUUCCCUGGAAACUGAGCCCAAAGCCCAAAUGAGUAGUACUGAGCAGUGGACGUCUGGGGGGAGCCACAGUCACCCUGCAGUGCAGUCUCAGUGCUGACACCUCUCUGUCUGUAAAAGCAUGCUUGUAAAGGUGGAAAAAGCCGCUGCAUUUGGGCAGAAGUCACAUGAAAAGGCCCGGAAAGAGGCAAAAGGGAACCAACUAUAGAUACCAGAAAGUGCCAGCAAAGACAUCUCCCAGGAACGCAGAACAUACUGUGAAAUGUGAUAGCUAAGUCUCAAAACCUGCAGCAGAAGCAGGGGGAAGGCAGAAGAGAUGCCUAGCUAAGGAUUCGGAGAGGACGAGGUUUCCAAGGAAUACUGUUGUCACAGGUCUCAGGGGCAGCAAAACUAUAAACCUCAUGGUGCUGAAGUCCUGCUGUAACAUAGAAGCCCUGUGCCUUGUUUCUAAGAACUAGGAAGCACAGAGCUAUUGGCAGAAGGUGUUCUGGAGCUAAGUCACUCAGGACUCAGUGGAAGUGAGUAUUCAGAGACACCAGAAUUAUUGGAAGCAGUCUGUUUUUGAGGCAGCGGCAAAAGUGUCUGUAAUCUACUGUUCCAUAGCAGACCCCUAAAAUGAUGGAUUAAAAAGCUAUCAAUCUGCCUACCACUCAGGGAGGUGGCAAACAAGAUAAGCUCAGCUGGGAUGGAUUAUCUCGGGGCUGUGUGGCCUCAUGGGGUCUCCCUCUGGACCUGAAUCUCAGAAGAAGAAAAACGCCUGGAAUCUCUUUCCAAAAAGUGACUUGGACAUUUUCACAUGGUGAUAGUUGGUUGCAUUUCCAGCAGCAAAAGCAAGGCCGAGCCAAAUGUUCAUGUCCUCUCACUCUUCUGCAUGUGUCCUGGUUGCUAAUGUGCCACUGGCUGAAACACAUCAUAAAAGUAGGACUAGAGCAGUGACACAAGAGCAAGGAUGCAGGGAAGUGUCGGCUGCUGGGGAUCAUUAAUGUAACAGUUUGCCACAGAAGAUAGAAGCCUUUGGGUUUGAAAGGCUGCCUUGAAGCCUCUGUUAUAAGACAGAUACCAAGACACUAUAAUAAAAAUCCCCAAAAGGAGCAUCAAAACUUAGCAAUAGGUGAAAAAAGUGUUGCCACAGAGGCAAUGAAAAUUUUAGCUAUGAAUUCUGUAACAACCCUCAUAAACAUAGAUAACAGUUACAUAGUACUUACCUGACUAAUCCUAUUAGGAAGAUGAAAAUGCAGGUGUUCAAAUGCAAAUGAGUUAGGAGAGGAGCCCUGUUUAACCCAGUAGGUCAUGUUCUUUAGGGUCUGUGGUCCUGAUCAUUACACUACACUGUCUUUCUAAAUAAAGGAAAUUUACUACUGGAUUAAUGAAGUGAUGUGUUAUAAGGAACACCUCGAAACACAUAUGAAAAAUUCAGGUAAGAAAUGAGGAGGGUAAAAUUAGCUGAUAAAAAUAAAAUAGGAAGAAGAAAAACCCAAACCAUCACAGAAAUAAAAUAGCCUUGGGGAGAAAAAAGCAAAAAGACAUUAAGCAUUGUGGCUAAGUAGAAGACAGUGAAGGCAGAUAUAAGGAGAGAGGUCAAAAUUAAAUGAAAAUAAAGAAAAAAUUUUAAAUUAUUUAUAUGAAAAUGAUAAUGAUUGAAGAAAUGCAAUAACAGAGCCAACACACAUAGAAUUGUGACUCUGAAAAAGGGGACCUCAUCAGUGGAAGAGGACAAAUAUUUGAAACUGAAUUAUAAAAAGAACUUUGCUAAUAUUGGAAAAAACCUUGAAUUUACAUGUUAAACAUAAACACUAUUCAUGAUGGUUGAAACAAGACAUACGCUAGCGAAUUACUAAAUUUUGUUUUGCUUCAGAUUCACUUUACUUGUACCAUACCAAUUUUAUUAAAUAUAAAAAAAAGUCUUAAAGUGAAAAGGAAAUGUUCCUAGAAGGAAAAAUAAAUCAACCUACCCUCAGUCUUCUUCAGAACAACAACAUUCAAACCCUAAUGACAAUGGGACAAAACGUAACGCUACUCUCAAGUGUAAUCAAAAGACUCCUGUCUAGUCAAAUUGUUCAUCACAUACAAAGGUCAUAAUUUUAAAACAUGAGAAGUCGAAGAAUGAAUGAAAAGGAACAAAUCUAGGGAAAAUGUCAGGAGAACUGGUGGUGAACAGUCAAUAUAUUUCUACUGUGAAAUGAAGACAGUAAAAAAUGAAUGUUACAGGCUUUGAGAAUAUAGAAAUGACAUGAGUCAUGUAUAAUCAAAAAGGAAAAGCAAAAGGUGGUGGUGACUGGACUAAGUUCUCUGAGUGACUCAUCUAUAAGGGUGAAGGUUCAAAAUGACAUUUAAAGCUGGCAUUAGUAGAGCAAGCAUGUAUAACCAUGUAAAUAUAAACACAAAGAAAUGUAACUUUCAACAACACAUAAUAGUGGAUAAAAUGCAAUGUAGGGAAAAGAGGGUUCGUGCCCAUUAUUUAUGAUGAAUGCUUAGAUCUAAAACAGUAAUGGAUUUGGAGUAUUAUAUAGGGAUACAAUUAUAAAAGUAGAAAUUAGAAAGCAAAGUUACCCCUUAAUGAACAACUUCCUAAAUACACAUAUAUGUACACACACAUACACCCCAUAAAUCAGAAUUGACACAAAUGCUUCUCAACUAAUAAAUAUUUUAAGGUACUGUAUCUUUUAAAAGAUCUUCAAAGUGCAUGAAAAGCAAAGUUCAAAUGGUUGAAAAUAAUAGGAAGAUCAAAAUUUACUCAGAUAAUGCUCCACCCACACACACACAUGCAAAGGUAGAGUAGUAACAACAAUAAAGCAGAAGUUAUGACCUUAAUAUCACACAAUUUUGAAUCAGCACCAAUAAGCAUUAUGUGAGACAAAAAAGAUGUAUAAUAUAAUGCAAAAAGAUUAAAAAUACAGUGAAGAGGUGCCUCGUGAGUUUUUAUAAACCAAAUGCAUUGCAGGUAUUACAAGAGGUAGAAAAACAAGGAAGAAACAGAUCAAAAUUGGGAAAUUUUACCCAUCCUGCAGUCUAAAUCUGGAUGUAUCAGACUCUGUGCCUCAAAGGUAGAGAAUAUAUGUUCUUUAUGAGGACUAAUAUUAUAUUCAUGAAAAAUGGUCAUAUAUUAAUCUAUAAAGAUAAAAUGCAAAAAUAAAGGACCAUGUACAAUAUUCUAUUAUCACAAUUCCAUAAGUGUAGAAGUUAAC